rnacentral:rRNA from 1 species
AUUGCCGUGAUGUUACCUGCAGAAUAAGCACCGGCUAAUUCCGUGCCAGCAGCCGCGGUAAUACGGAAGGUGCAAGCGUUAAUCGGAAUUACUGGGCGUAAAGCGCGCGUAGGUGGUUUGUUAAGUUGGAUGUGAAAGCCCUGGGCUCAACCUAGGAACUGCAUCCAAAACUAACUCACUAGAGUACGAUAGAGGGAGGUAGAAUUCAUAGUGUAGCGGUGGAAUGCGUAGAUAUUAUGAAGAAUACCAGUGGCGAAGGCGGCCUCCUGGAUCUGUACUGACACUAAGGUGCGAAAGCGUGGGUAGCGAACAGGAUUAGAUACCCUGGUAGUCCACGCCGUAAACGAUGACAACUAGCUGUUGGGAGACAAUGUCUUUCAGUGGCGCAGCUAACGUUUUAAGUUGUCCGCCUGGGGAGUACGGCCGCAAGGCUAAAACUCAAAUGAAUUGACGGGGACCCGCACAAGCGGUGGAGCAUGUGGUUUAAUUCGAUGCAACGCGAAAAACCUUACCUACUCUUGACAUACUUGGAAGCUCUUGUAAUGAGAGUGUGCCUUUUGGAGCCAAGAUACAGGUGCUGCAUGGCUGUCGUCAGCUCGUGUCGUGAGAUGUUCCGUUAAGUCGGAUAACGAGCGCAACCCUUACCCUUAUUUGCCAGCGAUUCGGUCGGGAACUAUAAGGGGACUGCCGGUGAUAAACCGGAGGAAGGUGAGGACGACGUCAAGUCAUCAUGGCCCUUACGAGUAGGGCUACACACGUGCUACAAUGGGGAAUACAGACGGACGCUAAGCCGCGAGGUGGUGCUAAUCCUAUAAAGUUCUUCGUAGUCCGGAUUGGAGUCUGCAACUCGACUCCAUGAAGUCGGAAUCGCUAGUAAUCGCGAAUCAGCAUGUCGCGGUGAAUACGUUCUCGGGUCUUGUACACACCGCCCGUCACACCAUGGAAGUGGAUUGCACCAGAAGUAGAUAGUCUAACCUUCGGGAGGGCGUUUACCACGGUGUGCUUCAUGACUGGGGUGAAGUCGUAACAAGGUAGCCGUAGGGGAACCUGUGGCUG